GAUGAACGCUGGCGGCGUGCCUAAUACAUGCAAGUCGAGCGAACAGACGAGGAGCUUGCUCCUCUGACGUUAGCGGCGGACGGGUGAGUAACACGUGGAUAACCUACCUAUAAGACUGGGAUAACUUCGGGAAACCGGAGCUAAUACCGGAUAAUAUAUUGAACCGCAUGGUUCAAUAGUGAAAGACGGUUUUGCUGUCACUUAUAGAUGGAUGCGCGCCGCAUUAGCUAGUUGGUAAGGUAACGGCUUACCAAGGCAACGAUGCGUAGCCGACCUGAGAGGGUGAUCGGCCACACUGGAACUGAGACACGGUCCAGACUCCUACGGGAGGCAGCAGUAGGGAAUCUUCCGCAAUGGGCGAAAGCCUGACGGAGCAACGCCGCGUGAGUGAUGAAGGUCUUCGGAUCGUAAAACUCUGUUAUUAGGGAAGAACAAAUGUGUAAGUAACUAUGCACGCCUUGACGGUACCUAAUCAGAAAGCCACGGCUAACUACGUG
rnacentral:rRNA from 1 species